rnacentral:rRNA from 1 species
AUUGAACGCUGGCGGCAGGCCUAACACAUGCAAGUCGAGCGGAGCGGCGGACGGGUGAGUAAUGCCUAGGAAUCUGCCUGGUCGUGGGGGAUAACGUCCGGAAACGGGCGCUAAUCCCGCAUACUCUCAGAUGAGCCUAUGUGGGAUUAGCUAGUUGGUGGGGUAAAGGCCUACCAAGGCGACGAUCCGUAACUGGUCUGAGAGGAUGAUCAGUCACACUGGAACUGAGACACGGUCCAGACGCCUACGGGAGGCAGCGGUGGGGAAUAUUGGACAAUGGGCGAAGGCCUGAUCCAGCCAUGCCGCUUGUAUGAAGAAGGCGUUCGGGUUGUAAAGUACUUUCAGCGGGGAGGCGUUACCAACAGAAUAAGCACCGGCUAACUUCGUGCCAGCAGCCGCGGUAAUAC